rnacentral:rRNA from 1 species
UGAUUUUUUAAUGGCCGCGGUAUUUUGACCGUGCAAAGGUAGCAUAAUCAUUAGUCUAUUAAUUAUGGAAUAGUAUGAAUGGUUGGACGAAAUAUUGGCUGUCUCAUUUGUAUUUAUUUGAAUUUAACAUUUUAGUUAAAAGGCUUAAAUUUUAUUAUAGGACGAGAAGACCCUAUAGAUCUUUAUUUAUGAUUUGUUUUAUUUUUUUAGUUUAUUUUUAUUAAAUUAAUUUAUUUAUUUUGUUGGGGCGAUGUUGAGAUAUAAUUAACUCUUUUUUUUUUUUUCAUUA